UCUUAAAUGUAAAUAUUAUUAUGUCCAUAGAUUGAAGUUUCAGGUGGAGAGCAAGAUGAAAAAUAUGCAAAAUUACAUGCAUGCAACCCAUUUAUGCCAUUUUUCUCUUUGUUUGUAGGCCUGACUGUUUGUCCUUGAGCCGUAGAUGGUCAACAAUCCGCUAGCUGUCUUGCUCUGACUGGUGCACUGGACAUGAUUUCAAUAGUCAGCCAGACCAUGAUUGAGCUUAAGGGUUGUGCUGCGGAUGCAGCCUGUGCAGUUCCGGGAGAAAGUCACUGUCUCGGGCAAUGCGGUCUGGUAUCAGGUCUGGAUGAUCCUUGCCUGACUGCGGGUUUGUGUACACCUCAAUCCGACUCUGUGUCCUGAACAGAGGCCACAGUGGUGCAGCGCUUGUGGACAAUCCAUCAACAUCCUGAAAGGUCAACACUACACCAAGCUGGGAAAAUUGAUCCUGAUAGUCAUCCCCAGGUAGUGAAAUGAAUGUUCACUGAACUUCAGAGGAAUCACACCCAAAUGACUUUCCUGCCACGACAUUAGUGUGGCCACUCGCGUAGGAAUUCCUUAGCAAACAUGCUCUUUUGCAUGGUGACUGUGGACAUUUUUGCAAAACUUACGCUUUCAACACUGGAUUUUAAAGAGAAUACUUAAUAAAAUGUUGCUAACAGGACUUAUUUAUAUGAGAGAGACUAUCUGGAUGCGCAUUAAGUGUCACUUUGUGUCGUAAGCUGUUAAAGGAGCGAUUUGCGCCUUUUUAAGUGUUAAUUUUGGGUAGCCGGCUUAAAUCGGCUUGAAAGCUGAAAAUUAUGCCUCUUAUCAUAAUAGCAUUAAUUUUUGUGAUUGCAAUGUGUAUGUUUAGAUUGUAAGUGAAGCUUUUAAUAAUAAUUUUCUUAAAAAACAUGAUUUUAUAUGCUGUCAGUGAGUUUUUUAUUGAAAAAAGUGCUUAAAAUUAAAAAAAAGUCUCCUAUUUCAUCAAGAAAAGUACACUUAUUCACAAUCAAUACAUUUAUUUGGGCCUUUUGCUGAUAUAUUGGUGAAUUUCGCAUGCAAUGAUACCAGUUUUUGCCAUGAAAGUUACGCGUAACAAUAAUUGGAGACGCAAAAUCAGCUGUCGUCACUUAGACUAAAAAUCAUGCAUUCCGACUUGACUGCGGCCAAUUUAGUCACCGCUUUUAAUGGCCAUUUUAAGGCCUUUACCCCCAUCCGAAUGCACUGAAAUUGCAUAUUCAUUGUGGAAAUAGUUGAAAUCUCAUGUGGAGAAAGUUGGAAAAAGAUAGGACAAAGUUGAGUUCCCUUAAAGGUUACAUUACACUAAAUCAUUGUGUAUCCCUCCGUGGUCCAUUCGAAAGUAGUGCCUAUUUCUAAAGAGUUCCUUUUCUCUUCUUGAAUAUAAGCCAUUUAACAAUGCGAGACAUGUCUUUUGUGGUUAUUUGUAAUAUCCUGUAUGUGUCUGGAGUACUUUGAUGCCUUGGAUUGGAAGCUAACUUAAAAGAACUUUUGAGGGUGUGUUUUCUAUUGUGUGGGGCUUUUGUCGAAAUUAGGAUUCCGAAACACGUUUUUCUACGGUGGGUUCAUUCGACAGCGAUUUACUUUCUUAGAAGUUGCGAGACGGUAUGUUUUUGAUUGCAAUUAUUGGAAGAUGACAGAUCCAUCUUUAAAAUGAUACCAGGUUCGGAAAAAUUGAUACGUCGGAAAGGCAAGAAAAAUGCUGUGAAAGUUGUCAGUUUUAUAAUGGGACCCUAUGGGAAUCGGAAUUAGUGUAAUAUAACCUUUACACAAUGAAAAUACCUCCAUUGAUACCAGUCUCUGAGGACAGAAAUAUAACAACACUGAAGAUAUGAACUGGAUACGUUCUACUGUUCUGCUGCACGGCAUCCACAAAGCACAAUCAAAAUGUUGCAGUAUACUCAUUGAUAUAGCAAACCAUUAAAUUCCGGAAACUCUAUCAGAAGAGACAUUUAAAUAGCUGAUACUUUUUCUAUACAUGAAAUGUAAUUUUUGUUCAUUUUAUUUUUC